AUCAGUUUCCUCUCGAGACUCCAACAAGAUCAUCAUGGUUUCCAAGUCGUCUUCGCUCUGGUGGGCUUAGUUGCCCUCGUGGCUGCCGACAGCUUCGAAAGCUUCGAAAGAUACUCCCGCCCAAGGUUCUCCUCAGGAUCCGCCGAGUCCUUCGAGUCCGGCGAGGCUCGUUACAACUUCGACUGGGCCGUCAACCACCCUCCCUCCCGCAACGACUUUGGACACCAGGAGGCCGGGGACGGCGAGACACCCAGGGAUCCUACUUCGUCCACCUCCCCGACGGCCGCCUGCAGAAGGUGGCCUUCCGCGCUUCUGACGACGACGGAUACAUCGCCGAGGUCACCUACUCCGGUGAGGCUCAGUUCCCCGACUCCUUCGAAUCCUACGAGUCC